rnacentral:rRNA from 1 species
GGUUGAUCCUGCCAGUAGUCAUAUGCUUGUCUCAAAGAUUAAGCCAUGCAUGUCUAAGUAUAAACUUUUAUACGGUGAAACUGCGAAUGGCUCAUUAAAACAGUUAUAGUUUAUUUGAUGGUCAUUUACUACAUGGAUAACCGUGGUAAUUCUAGAGCUAAUACAUGCGUAAAGACCUGACUUUUGCGGAAGGGUCGUGUUUAUUAGAUUAAAAACCCACCCAUCCUCGGAUGGUUUGUUGGUGAUUCAUAAUAACCGAACGAAGCGUAUGGUUUUACCGACGCUAAAUCAUU